GCCUGGUUAGCUCAGUCGGUAGAGCGUGUGGCUUUUAAGGAAUGAACUGUUCCCACGAAACCUCAAAGUCACGGGUUCGAGCCCCGUAUCAGGCU